UAGAAAAUGGCAAAGCUUUUCCUUAGGUGG
rnacentral:piRNA from 1 species